rnacentral:pre_miRNA from 1 species
UUAGCUUAUAUUUGUAUGGAAUGGGAUCGUUUGCCUACGUUUGCCGCUAGGGGCGCUGUUCCAACUGCAUACAAAAUUGGGUUA